AAGUCGUAACAAGGUAACCGUAGGUGAACCUGCGGUUGGAUCAUUAUUGAAUCUAUUUUCUUUGGUGUUAAAAACCAAAGAGAAAAAAAAAAGGGUAGACUUUUUAAAGUUUACCUGAUACAUUCAUGUGAACUUGUUUAGGCUUGUAAAAAAGCCAAGGUUUUUGGUGGUUCUCUUUUUAUAAAGAGUCCACCUCUUACUGAAAAAAACAUUUUUAUUUUAAUUUUUUUGAUUUCUUUAUGAAAAACAAAAACAACUUUUGACAACGGAUCUCUAGGCUCUC
rnacentral:misc_RNA from 1 species